UGUGUACUCCAUCCGUUCCAAAAUAUUUGACUUCCAUUUGUCCAAAAAUGGAUGUACCUAUAUACUAAAACAUGUCUAGAUACAUAUAUAUUUUGACAAAUAGAAGGCAUGUAUUGUGCAACGGAGGGAGUAGAAU
rnacentral:pre_miRNA from 1 species